CCCGCUGAACUUAAGCAUAUCAAUAAGCGGAGGAAAAGAAACCAACAGGGAUUGCCUUAGUAACGGCGAGUGAAGCGGCAACAGCUCAAAUUUGAAAUCUGGCCUCGCGGUCCGAAUUGUAAUUUGUAGAGGAUGCUUCGAGCGUGGCCCUGGUCUAAGUUCCUUGGAACAGGACGUCAUAGAGGGUGAGAAUCCCGUAUGUGACUGGGGCCCUAAGCUCAUGUGAAGCUCCUUCGACGAGUCGAGUUGUUUGGGAAUGCAGCUCAAAAUGGGUGGUAAAUUUCAUCUAAAGCUAAAUAUUGGCCAGAGACCGAUAGCGCACAAGUAGAGUGAUCGAAAGAUGAAAAGCACUUUGGAAAGAGAGUUAAACAGUACGUGAAAUUGUUGAAAGGGAAGCGCUUGCAACCAGACUUGCAUGCAGUCGAUCAUCCGAUGUUUUCACCGGUGCACGCGAUUGUAUUCAGGCCAGCAUCAGUUUUGGUGGUUAGAUAAAGACUGUGGGAAUGUAGCUUCUUUCGGGGAGUGUUAUAGCCUGCGGUGUAAUGUAGCCUACUGGGACUGAGGACCGCGCUUCGGCUAGGAUGCUGGCGUAAUGGUUGUAAGCGACCCGUCUUGAAACACGG
rnacentral:rRNA from 1 species